AAGUAGUGGAGGAGGCAGCUGGAUAGGGUGGGGUCUCUCUCCUGACUACAGAAGUUUCUCGGCAGGGCCCACCUGGUGCCUCUGGGGAGCCUGGCCCUCCAGGGCCUCCUGGGAAAAGGGUAAGUGAUCCCCUACGAUUACCUUUGGCCUAAGCCUGUCCCUGUACCAGUCUACCUCCUAUGCUCCACUAUGGAGCGAAAUACUGACACACUCAGAAUCAAAAAUUCCCAUAGUUGGAAAUAAUCUCAGGGAUCAUCCAGUCCGACCCUUCUCUGAACAGGAAUCUCCUCUAGCGUCUCCCUAACAAAUAGUCAUCACCAGUGAGAUGAUGAACUGAAGAUGCAAAAUGAGACAUACAAUUUUGUAUGUGGUGUGGGAAUUUGCUUUGUUAUACUUUGCAUACUUUUUAUGAGGGUUUUCUUUUGCAAUUUGUUCAGUUGGGGAUGGGGGAGUGGGAGGGAGAGAAAAUGAAUGCUUGUUCAUUGAAAAAUAAAAAAAAAAUUAGUCACUCAGCCUCACACACACACACCACACACACACACACACACACACACACACACUCUUUCUUUCUCUAGGGACCUGCUGGCCAUAUGGGUCAUGAGGGCAGAGAAGGGGAGAAAGGGGCCAAGGGUCAGCCUGGUAUUGAUGGCCCUCCUGGUAGGACAGGCCCAGUGGGUCCAAGGGGCCCUCCUGGUCGGCUCGGGGCUGAGGGCCUACCAGGGAUUCCUGGCCCCUCGGGUGAACCAGGUCUUCUUGGCCCUCCUGGACAGAUGGGUCCACCUGGGCCCCUGGUAAGCCACUGUUCUCAUCCAAGAAAUCUAUCCCAUCUAGUCCCACCGAUACUCAUGGCCUCUGCUGACCAGCUACAUUGAUUGAUCAUGCACACUGAGCAUCCUACUGACCAUCCUCACUGAUGGGAUUUGGUGUAGGGAAGGGGUGUAGGGAAGGGGUGUCUGAGCUCCCACCCUUCUGGGUAGCUCUGGGGGCUCUACAGUAACCACUCCCCCCCGAUCCUUACUUUGCUCUGGCUCAAGGCACAGACAUGCUUAUGCCCAAGUGGAUGUUGACACGUGGCACUGACCCCACCUUUCUCUCUCCAGGGGCCCAGUGGCCUCCCUGGCCUGAAGGGGGAUCCUGGCUUCAAGGGGGAGAAGGUAACAGCCCCUGUGGUCCCCUUUCAGUCUCCUGUGCCCUCCUCCAUUAAUCUUUCCCCUAUCCCUCCCUCAGCUCUUGGGAGGAGAAGGGAUGAGUUCCUUUCAUCCCCACACCCACUUCCCUCUCUCAUUCAGGCCUGGGUAAAAGUGUCUCCUUUUUCCCCCAGGAGCCUCACCUUGAGGCUUCCUUCUCUUCCUGGUCCAGAGGCUCAUUGUCUCCCUCUUCUCUCUAGGGUCAUAUUGGGCUAAUUGGUUUAAUCGGUCCCCCUGGAGAGCCCGGUGAGAAAGGAGACCAAGGGGUCCCCAGGGGUACAAGGUAGCCGAGGCCCCAAAGGAGACCCUGUGAGUGUCCCCAUGGAGGCAAAAUCUUUUUUGGGAGGGGGUGGGGGAGGAGGGAAAAGGGUAGU
ensembl:lncRNA